rnacentral:lncRNA from 1 species
AUGAGAGCGCGAACGACGGACGGAGUGUCAGUGUGUCCGGAGCUGGGGCUCUGUGGGUCAUCGCGAGGGUCCGAGGCGGCGCUCAGUGCCCGAUGUGGGAAGGUGGAGGUCGCUGAGAUCUGCAUGCGUUCGGGUCGGGACGCCGCGUGGGGGAGGGGAGUGGAGAGGGGGGGGGGGGGUGGAAAUGUAAGAGGAAUGGAAGAGUGUGUGAUCACACCGAACAACGACACCUUAAAGAGACACGAGCCGCGCGAGGGAAAACACUCAGCGAGCUCAGCGACGAAAGUGGCGCCACGCUCCGCUCGUGGCUCUGCGCGAGUUUCGCGGGGGCGAGCAGUGGACGGGACGGCACGGCACGGGAGCGCGCGGCGCCACGACCCCGAGAGAGAGAGAGCGAGAGCGCGAGAAAGAGAGAGAGACCCGAAGACUGACUCACGCGUGGACAGUGAGUGUGGCGGUCACGCGUGGACACGUCGGAGGGUCCGGCGGCUCGAGGUCACUGUGUUCCCUUGCGGCCAGGUUAGGGGGGAAAAAACGUCCCCACCGAUCUGUGUCACGUUUCUUCAUCACUCACACACCUGAGGCUGAUGUGAGCAGAGCAUCUCUCCGUCCGGAAGCCCCUCCCCCGACCCGACUGACCUCCCCGGGUGCAAGCAGACCGACGCGGAUCCGCGAGCCCAUCCCAAACGCACCAGUCACGAGAGGGAAGCAGCGAAGUUUAUGUUGGACGUACGGACAUGGUGCGGAAAGAGGAGCACGUGCUCUCGUCUCAUCACCCCUGUGGGUUCUCGCAUCUCCCAGGAGGUCCAAAGGAGCGCGCAGUCACACACACACACACACACACACACACACACGCGUGUGCGCGUACCGCCUGCUGCACCGCGGGCCGAGAUGAGGAUAAAACGGGAAAUUGUUGCUCCGUGUCGGUAAGUCGGGUCUGUCAAGCUUUGGUGCUUCGGACAGAUUCACCGGCUCACAAUUAAUAUUAAUGUGUAGAUUUCGCAAUGCGGCCUUAUCACACAUUAUCACACAUUAUCGCGGGGAGAGAUGGGCGCGCGUGCCGUCUGGGCUCCGUGAGGCAUUACACACAAUCACAGGGAUUACCGAGCCGGGGGCCAAAUUGCACACCUUUUUAUACACAACGCCGCGACCGGUGUGUGUGUGUGUGUGUGUGUGUGUGUGUGUGUGUGUGUGUUUCCAGGAAACGUCCCGGGUUCGUCACCAUGACCUCUGUUAGCGGGCUCUCGCGCGCGGCCCCGCUUUGCGGCUUGCGGGCGGCUCGCGCGCGGACGGCAGCUCGUGUUUUAUGGGCGCAGAGCUCUUGUCGUUGUUAAUUUGACAUUAAACGGUUGUUAUGAUGAUGGAUGAGGGUCUGCGAUAGCACACAGGGGACGUCGAACGACGUUAAACUCCUUUAUUUCACUACAACAACAAUUAAGACCCACCCUCGUCGGCGCGUGCGCGGAGAGCCGAACGUAAAGAAAAAAACAGCGCGAAACCACCAGCACGUGCGGGUCCCAGGCCAGGGUGUGUGCGUGUGUGUGUGUGUGUGGAGAUGACGAGCUUGAUGAGUUCAAAAAAUGUUCACAUGAUGUGAUGUGGACCUGUGGAGUGUUCCUGUCUGAUACAGCGCGCGCGCACACGCACGCACACACACACACACACACACACACACACACUCCCGUGCCUUCACUUCAUCGCCUCGUCGCUCCUGCCCGAGACCCCUUCGAACCCAUGACCACGCGGAAGGGUUUUAUUUCGCUACCUUCCGUACCUAAUGUUUUACUGCACGGAUCGCGUCCCGACACGGUAAACUUGCACUUUUAACACACACUGCGGAAAGAGCGCUAAAAUGGACACUUUGUGUCACAUUUCCGUGUACAUUUAUUCAAGAGGUCUUUGAUUGAACAAAUAAAUGCACAUAACACACACCUUGACCGUGAGCG